AAGAGAAAGCGGGAAAAAUAAUGGUAAGGAGGACAUGUAGAGGAGGAGAAUGAGAGAGCAAAGGAGGGGAGUUAGAAGAGGAACGAGAAGUGGCCAAAAGAAGACAAGAAAAAGAGUGCACAUAGGAAAGCAUUGCAACUAGGAACAAAAUGCAAAGCUAUUAAAGUAACAGGUUGAAAAAUAAAUACAAGGUAUGCACCCAAACCUGCCAUUAUCAGAAGCAACAUAAGCAGUCAGAUAGCUAGAAGCAAAAAGGUAAGAAAAUUACAUAUCCAUAAAAUGAGAUUUCAAGUGCAUUUUGAAAUCACAAUGGAGUACCCUCAAUCAAUAAUAAUAUCAAAUUUUAAGAAAGGCCCCAAAUGAGCAAUUUUAUAAUUGUAGCAUAAGU
rnacentral:lncRNA from 1 species